rnacentral:rRNA from 1 species
ACCAUGCACCGAAGCUGCGGCAGCGAACGUAUCACUUAAAGCGAUUCAGCGGGUUACGAUUGACGGAGCGAAGCGACGUCAAAGCGUAUACAAAGUCGAGUCGGUUUAAGGAUACGUUCCUAAACCAUGCACCGAAGCUGCGGCAGCGACACUCAGGUGUUGUUGGGUAGGGGAGCGUUCUGUAAGCCUGCGAAGGUGGCCUGUGAGGGUUGCUGGAGGUAUCAGAAGUGCGAAUGCUGACAUAAGUAACGAUAAAGCGGGUGAAAAGCCCGCUCGCCGGAAGACCAAGGGUUCCUGUCCAACGUUAAUCGGGGCAGGGUGAGUCGACCCCUAAGGCGAGGCCGAAAGGCGUAGUCGAUGGGAAACGGGUUAAUAUUCCCGUACUUGGUGUUACUGCGAAGGGGGGACGGAGAAGGCUAUGUUGGCCGGGCGACGGUUGUCCCGGUUUAAGCGUGUAGGUGUGUGUUCCAGGUAAAUCCGGUUCACUUUAACACUGAGGCGUGACGACGAGGCACUACGGUGCUGAAGCAACAAAUGCCCUGCUUCCAGGAAAAGCCUCUAAGCAUCAGGUAACAUCAAAUCGUACCCCAAACCGACACAGGUGGUCAGGUAGAGAAUACCAAGGCGCUUGAGAGAACUCGGGUGAAGGAACUAGGCAAAAUGGUGCCGUAACUUCGGGAGAAGGCACGCUGACACGUAGGUGAAGUGAUUUACUCAUGGAGCUGAAGUCAGUCGAAGAUACCAGCUGGCUGCAACUGUUUAUUAAAAACACAGCACUGUGCAAACACGAAAGUGGACGUAUACGGUGUGACGCCUGCCCGGUGCCGGAAGGUUAAUUGAUGGGGUCAGCGCAAGCGAAGCUCCUGAUCGAAGCCCCGGUAAACGGCGGCCGUAACUAUAACGGUCCUAAGGUAGCGAAAUUCCUUGUCGGGUAAGUUCCGACCUGCACGAAUGGCGUAAUGAUGGCCAGGCUGUCUCCACCCGAGACUCAGUGAAAUUGAACUCGCUGUGAAGAUGCAGUGUACCCGCGGCAAGACGGAAAGACCCCGUGAACCUUUACUAUAGCUUGACACUGAACAUUGAGCCUUGAUGUGUAGGAUAGGUGGGAGGCUUUGAAGUGUGGACGCCAGUCUGCAUGGAGCCGACCUUGAAAUACCACCCUUUAAUGUUUGAUGUUCUAACGUGGACCCGUAAUCCGGGUUGCGGACAGUGUCUGGUGGGUAGUUUGACUGGGGCGGUCUCCUCCUAAAGAGUAACGGAGGAGCACGAAGGUUGGCUAAUCCUGGUCGGACAUCAGGAGGUUAGUGCAAUGGCAUAAGCCAGCUUGACUGCGAGCGUGACGGCGCGAGCAGGUGCGAAAGCAGGUCAUAGUGAUCCGGUGGUUCUGAAUGGAAGGGCCAUCGCUCAACGGAUAAAAGGUACUCCGGGGAUAACAGGCUGAUACCGCCCAAGAGUUCAUAUCGACGGCGGUGUUUGGCACCUCGAUGUCGGCUCAUCACAUCCUGGGGCUGAAGUAGGUCCCAAGGGUAUGGCUGUUCGCCAUUUAAAGUGGUACGCGAGCUGGGUUUAGAACGUCGUGAGACAGUUCGGUCCCUAUCUGCCGUGGGCGCUGGAGAACUGAGGGGGGCUGCUCCUAGUACGAGAGGACCGGAGUGGACGCAUCACUGGUGUUCGGGUUGUCAUGCCAAUGGCACUGCCCGGUAGCUAAAUGCGGAAGAGAUAAGUGCUGAAAGCAUCUAAGCACGAAACUUGCCCCGAGAUGAGUUCU